CCUACGGGUGGCUGCAGUGGGGAAUAUUGCACAAUGGGGGAAACCCUGAUGCAGCGACGCCGCGUGAGUGAAGAAGGCUUUCGGUAUGUAAAGCUCUAUCAGCAGGGAAGAAAAUGACGGUACCUGGUUAAGAAGCCCCGGCUAACUACGUGCCAGCAGCCGCGGUAAUACGUAGGGGGCAAGCGUUAUCCGGAUUUACUGGGUGGAAAGGGAGCGUAGACGGUGAUGCAAGUCAGAAGUGAAAGCCCGGGGCUCAACUCCGGGACUGCUUUUGAAACUGUGUGACUGGAGUGAAGGAGAGGUAAGCGGAAUUCCUGGUGUAGCGGUGAAAUGCGUAGAUAUCAGGAGGAACACCAGUGGCGAAGGCGGCUUACUGGACUGUAACUGACGUUGAGGCUCGAAAGCGUGGGGAGCAAACAGGAUUAGAUACCCGGGUAGUC
rnacentral:rRNA from 1 species